rnacentral:rRNA from 1 species
UACAGAGGUCCCAAGCGUUGUUCGGAUUCACUGGGCGUAAAGGGCGCGUAGGCGGCCUGAUAAGUAGGGGUGAAAUCUUGCGGCUUAACCGCAAGGCUGCCUUCUAAACUGUCAGGCUAGAGCACAGUAGAGGCAGGUGGAAUUCCCGGUGUAGCGGUGGAAUGCGUAGAGAUCGGGAAGAACAUCAGUGGCGAAGGCGGCCUGCUGGGCUGUUGCUGACGCUGAGGCGCGACAGCGUGGGGAGCAAACAGG